GACGAACGCUGGCGGCGCGCCUAACACAUGCAAGUCGAACGAAGCACUUCGGUGCUUAGUGGCGGACGGGUGAGUAACGCGUGAGUAACCUGCCGUUCAGAGGGGGACAACAGUUGGAAACGACUGCUAAUACCGCAUAAUGUACAGCUUUGGCAUCUUAGCUGUACCAAAGGAGAAAUCCGCUGAAUGAUGGACUCGCGUCUGAUUAGAUAGUUGGUGAGGUAACGGCCCACCAAGUCGACGAUCAGUAGCCGGACUGAGAGGUUGAACGGCCACAUUGGGACUGAGACACGGCCCAGACUCCUACGGGAGGCAGCAGUGGGGGAUAUUGCACAAUGGAGGAAACUCUGAUGCAGCAACGCCGCGUGAGGGAAGAAGGUCUUCGGAUUGUAAACCUUUGUUUUUGGUGACGAAAUCUGACGGUAGCCAAAGAGGAAGCCACGGCUAACUACGUG
rnacentral:rRNA from 1 species